CCCUUAGAUGUUCUGGGCCGCACGCGUGCUACACUGAUGCAUUCAACGAGUCUAAAACCUGGUCUGAUAGGGCUGGGUAAUCUUUUGAAAGUGCAUCGUGAUUGGGAUAGAUGAUUGCAAUUCUUCAUCUUCAACGAGGAAUGCCUAGUAAACGCAAGUCAUCAGCUUGCAUUGAUUGCGUCCCUGCCCUUUGUACACACCGCCCGUCGCUCCUACCGAUUGAAUGAUCCGAUGAAUACCAUGGAUUGAGAGUACGAAUAGGUUCGCUUAUUUCUGCUGCUCGAGAAGUGGAGUAAAUCUUAUCAUUUAGAGGAAGGAGAAGUCGUAACA
rnacentral:rRNA from 1 species